rnacentral:rRNA from 1 species
GGGGAAUUUUGGACAAUGGGCGAAAGCCUGAUCCAGCAAUGCCGCGUGUGUGAAGAAGGCCUUCGGGUUGUAAAGCACUUUUGUCCGGAAAGAAAUCCUCUGGGUUAAUACCUCGGGGGGAUGACGGUACCGGAAGAAUAAGCACCGGCUAACUACGUGCCAGCAGCCGCGGUAAUACGUAGGGUGCAAGCGUUAAUCGGAAUUACUGGGCGUAAAGCGUGCGCAGGCGGUUUUGCAAGACGGAUGUGAAAUCCCCGGGCUUAACCUGGGAACUGCAUUCGUGACUGCAAGGCUAGAGUAUGGCAGAGGGGGGUAGAAUUCCACGUGUAGCAGUGAAAUGCGUAGAGAUGUGGAGGAAUACCGAUGGCGAAGGCAGCCCCCUGGGCCAAUACUGACGCUCAUGCACGAAAGCGUGGGGAGCAAACA